GCUUAGGUGAGUACUAAUCGUACAACCAUUGUACUAAAGGUUCUUACCAAAACUCUAUUACUCCUCAGACCAAGCUAGGUGUCUUGAUUGAUGCCCCUAUUGCUCAUCAAUCCUUGUUCUUACCAAAAUACCUAACUUGUCCCUCCUUGGAUACAGCCUAGGUUUUCUAAUACUAUUCCUCAGACCAAGUCUAAGUAUCUAGAUUGAGGCCCCUACUGCUCCUCAAACCUCAAUCUUUCUAAACUACUUCUCUCUCCCCGGACUUUGUUAUCAAUCAAUGAUAGGGAAAAGGAUCUAACUACAAUAAAAAAUUAGAACUAUACUACAUCUCCCCA
rnacentral:lncRNA from 1 species